AGACACCACUGCUAACAGUUUGAGCGGCUCCUUCCAGGUCUCUCUGCAUUUCAAACAUUCAAACUGUCCGUGUUUUUAGAGACAGGAUCAUUCUGCAUGUGUUUGUGAUGGCUUUUGAUGUGUCGACUUGCUGGCCUGAACUACAGCCCUCAGAAUCCCCUUUAGGUGGAUCCGGAGAGGUGGGCUAUGGGGACAGAAGGGAGGCAGCAGCCAUUUGUAAUUCAGACACCUUCUCCCCACUAUGCAGACACCAACUUGAGUGCUGCUGAGAAGGGAUUCUGCAGAUGUGAUUAAAGCACCUAAACAGUUGAUUAUAAGCUAAUCAGAGAGUAUCUCGGUGGGCCUGACCUAGUCAGUUGGAAGGCCUUUAAAAGCUUAGAAGGUUUCCCUGAGACUCCUGCCUGUGGAGAAGGAUCAGCUGGUGAUCUUGCCCUUGCGAGUCGCUGUUCUGAGGACUUUGCUCUUGCUUAGCAGCCUCACAAUCGGCAGUUACUUAUCUCCUGCUGGUUCUGCUUCUCAGGUGGACCCUGCCUGAUCCACAACUUUCUGCACCUUGGCCUUCCCAUGAGUCGGUGACAGUGUCCUGCAGGCAGGCACAAGCAGAGCUGGCUCGUUCUCUGUGGUGUGGAUGUGCCGUUGGCGUGAUCAGUUGUUCCCCCGUGAGGGGACGUCACCUCACUGCCCACUUGGUUGCCCGGCGCCGUCCGCGGUGCUGAAUUCCCGCAGGAGCCUCAGCUGAGACAGGUUGCCUGGGCAGGGGUGAAGAGCCAGCUGGUUGCCACAUACGACACAGUGUAGACCAGGACCUGCUGCCAGGCCUGCGUUCUCCGUGCUGUUUACAAGGUCCAAGUUAAAGAGGAUCGGCGACUCUGUGCGAAAGGAUCCCAGGAAUGGGUUUCAGAACCUGUUCCUCACAGAAACCAUAAAACUGGAGCCCCCCAGAGGAGCUCUGCGGGUUCUGCUGCAGACAGACGCAGCCUCUCAGCUUUCAUUCCGUGUGAAUGUGCCAGAAACUGCCACCCCACAAACCACGUUCCUGGGCUUCUCCCCCAGUGAGAUUGAGUGUGACAAAGAAUGACGCCCAUCUCCAUUCUCCCCAGUGUCCUGCGUCCAUACUUCAUCGCUCUUCCUCCCUGGGGAGGGCUCCAGCUUCGCUGCUGGAGGUUCCCCACUGGGGAUCUGAGCUCAUGUUCCCGAGCUUGAGCAAACGAAGGCUCCAGAGUCCCUCCCUCGAGACCCGUCCCCACCCCUGCACAGGCUCAGCCUUAGGGCUGCCUUCUCCUCAUCGGUCCCCACUGAGGAAAACAAGCCAAACCAGGAAGAGCAGAUCCCAUCUUUUCUGUUCUGAAUUAAAGGAAAUACUGAAGUAAUAAGGGAGCGUGCAGUUUCACGUCAAUGUCUGUGAAUCCGAAAGUUCUCAAGUUGUCCUCAAGUUGAGGAAGG
rnacentral:lncRNA from 1 species